rnacentral:rRNA from 1 species
CAGUAGGGAAUAUUGCACAAUGGGCGAAAGCCUGAUGCAGCAACGCCGCGUGAGUGAAGAAGGCCCUUGGGUCGUAAAGCUCUUUAGCCUGGAAAGAAGUGCUCUGAGGUGAACAAUCUCAGAGUGUGACGGUACCAGGAGAAUAAGGUCCGGCUAAUUUCGUGCCAGCAGCCGCGGUAAUACGAAAGGACCAAGCGUUACUCGGAAUCACUGGGCGUAAAGCGCGCGUAGGCGGCCUUGUAUGUCGAUUGUGAAAGCCCCGGGCUCAACCUGGGAACUGCAGUCGAAACUGCAAGGCUUGAAUGUUGGAGAGGUUGGGGGAAUACCUAGUGGAGAAGUGAAAUUCGUAGAGAUUAGGUGGAACACCAGAGGCGAAGGCGCCUGACUGGCCAAACAUUGACGCUAAGGCGCGAAAGCGUGGGUAGCAAACAGGAUUAGA